rnacentral:lncRNA from 1 species
UGCUUUUUCCUCAUUUUCGCCCAACCGUCUCUACCUUAUUAAUCGCCAAUUAGAGAUUUUCUACACAGAAGUAUCGCAGACUUAACUACUUCGUUGCUGAGCCCAGCAUAGUUAUCGCCUGCCAAGCCUCUUUAAACACCAGAUUCAAGCCUUUCUUCCCCCAUUUCCCAAUUUUCUCGUUGGUAUUGUUGCUUACCUUUAUUGUCUUUUGUUCUUAUGUUACCCUUUCUUAUUUCGUCUUUUAGUAUUGUUACUUAAUUUAUUGUUUUUGGUUUUAUUGCCUGGUUUAUGUGUGCCUUGUUUAUUUGGUGUCUAUUUGUGAUGCCGAGAUAUUUUGAUACUAGUCGAGUUAUUGUUAUUCUUGCAUAUAUUAUUGUGUGUAAUUAGGUUGUAUAGCGGGUUGGUUUUCUUAUGUUAAUUUGUAAUCAUCGUUAUAGGUGGAGAGACUACUGAUCUUGAUGUUAGGAUGAUAUGAGGCAUACAGACAUAGGUGAAAUUAUUAAUAAAUAAAAUUUCCACUUUAAAAAAAAUAUUUGAGGUGAUACUAUGAAAAUUUUCCUAUUUUAACUUUUAAUUCCAAACGCUUCCUCAAUGGUGCAAUAAUUAUAAAGUUUUAUAUUUAACAAUAACAGUAUAUUUAAUUAUUUUAAUUAAGUUAAACUCAAUUCUUCCAAAUAUGUAAAUGUUCUACUAUAAUUUUAAGGUAAAAAGUAUAAUAACAUUUAAUGUUAAACAUUAUAAUUAUAUAAUUACGAGUUAAUUAACAUAUAUUAUUUUUUUAAUAUUAAAUAUGCUGUAAUAUAUUUUAUGGAAUAGGAACAAAGUAUAACAUUGAAAUUACAUUCCUGAAAAUAGACAUAAAAUUUGUACAAAGUCAAGAAAACAAAAAAGAGACAAAGAAAAACAAAAGAAAUUUAAAAAAGAAAAAACAACUGAGAAUGAAAGCAAUAGGAAAAUGACUAUACCCAACCAUUUUAUAUGUGCAACUACCAAAUAAUGUUAAAACUCAUUAUAUUAAUUCAAAUUACAAGUACUUUUAAGGCGUUUUCUCUUUCUUAAUAUCUUUUAUAAUUCUACUUAUAUAAGUUUUUUUCUUAACGUCUUUUAAUGGACGACAUUAUCUAACUAUUACAAUUAUAAAUAAUUAAGAAUGGAACAAGAUAGGAGUUGGAUGUAUUCUCGAGUAGGUUCCGAUGGAUUCCAUACACCAAAAUUUCAAAAUAGCGUAGAAGAAUUUAUUUCAUUUGCCUUUAGUCAACAUAGAUAUGUGUGUGGAAACAAGAUCAGAUAUCUUGGUCUUGGUGUAUGAUCAGUAAGUUCUUAAUUACGGAUCAGGUUUGGGAGCACUUAUAUCAUAAAGAUUUUAUUGAUGUGUACACAAUAUGGAAUUCACAUGGUGAAUCAUUACAGACUGAAAAAUCAUCGAGACAUUUUGUUUGUGACAAUGUCGAAGAAAAAGUACUUAAUGAAGGUCGAAUGGGAAAUCCAUAUGUUGAUAUAGUUAUGGAUGCUUUACGUCCAAAGUUUCAAUUCAAUGUUGGGAAUGCAAAGGAAAGGGUGACUCAUGAAGAUUCUAUUCAUAACGUGACAACCUUUUUUUCGUUGUUAAGUGAUACCGGUGUAGCUUUGUGGUCCAAAUGUACUAAGCAUACAAGAUUAUCAACUAUGUCCCAAUUAUUGAAUGUUAAGUCAAAGUUUAACAUGAGUGAGGUGGGCUUUAAUCAUCUGAUGCAUUUAGUAAAAAAGAUGUUGCCAUUGAAUAAAGCAUCAUUGAAAAAUUUACAUAGAAUGAAGGCAAAACUGAAAGAACUUGGGCUCAGUUUUAUGAAAAUUCAUGCAUGUAAGAAUAAUUGCAUGUUAUUUUAUGAAGAAAAUGAUGAGUUGUCUUAUUGUUCAAUCGAAUAAAUCAAAUAAAUCAAAGGGAGGAAGGGAGAAGAAAAUUUGUUAUAAGAUUUUACAAUACUUUCCACUCAUACCGAGGUUAUGAAGGCUUAAUAUGUCAGAAAAAAUAACCUGCCACACACCAUUCUAAUGAUUGAGUGCUUAGGCAUCCUAUUAAUGGUAAGGUUUGGCAACACUUUAAUUGCACCCAUCAAUCUUUCAUUGUAGAGCCUCACAAUCUCAGACUUGGUUUAUAUGCAAAUUGUUUUAGUUCAUUGGGCCUAACAAUGAAAUUAUAUUUUAUGUGGUCGGUUAUGCUCACUGUCUAUAACUUAUGUUUGUGGAUGUGCAUGAAGCUACCAUACAUUUUUCUUAAUAUGGUAAUCCAAGGGAGGACAAGUAUGAGAAAAACAUUGAUGUUUUCUUAUAACUUCUAAUAGUCAAGGUUCUAUGGGACAAAGGUGUUGUCAUAUAUGCUACUUUUAAGAAACAAAAUUUUAUUCUACGGGUAACACUUUUCUGGACCAUUAAUGACUUCCCUGCAUAUAGUAUGUUGUUCGAGUGGAGCACUUGUGGGCAUUUAUCAUGUCCUUGUUGUAUGGAACACGAGAAGAGUUUCAUCUUGGAGGAUGGGAAAAAGCCUUGUUUUUUUUUAUUGUUAUCUACAAUUCUUGCCAAUAUAUCAUCCUUUUCAUCAUCAAAGAGAUAAAUUUAAAAAACAUGUUGAAUGACACCUUUCAAUGCCUCAAUUGUCUGAUGUCGAGAUAUUGGAAUGAUUAGAAUCAAUCCCUAAUAUCACAUGUGGGACUAGACCUGUCAAAAUGAGCCUGGUCCAUUUAUAUUAAAAGUGAGGUGGGUUGGGGUCUAAAAAUUCAAGCCCAUAUUAAAAUAAGGCCUAGAUGGGCUAACCCAUCUGAUCAGUGGGCUGUCCUUAGUUGGUGUGAGCUAGAAGAAAAAAAUCAAUAAUUUUAGCUAACUUAAUAAUUUUAUAUAUUUAGCUAUAUAAAAUUAAUAUUUUAGUUACUAAUGGUAUUGUUUAUUUUAUAUAUUUUAAUGUUUUUAAUCUUGUCAAAUUAAUAAUUGUAGUUAAGAUUGAAACUUACUAUCUCUUUUUCUUUUAUGGCAAUAAAUAUUAGAUGAUGAUGAUUCAAACCUUAAGACAUCAUUACUAUCCAAACAAGAUUCAAAUGUUUUACUUGAAGAUGAGGAUUGAAUAGGAUAUAAAUGAGUCUUGAAGUUUCUAUUUAUUUGGUUAUGUACUUAUGUUUAUGGGAUUGUAGUUUGUGUUCAAUGUUGAAACUUUAUUUAUGUUUGAUGUAAUUUAUUUGCUUAUUUAUGUUUAGUGUAAU